UUUAACUCUUUAAAAAGAAAAAAAAAUCAUCAUUGUUUUUUGAGAAUAGUAGCCAUACUUAACAAGUUAGACUUAUCCUUACAUGAGAAAUUCCCAAUGAUAUAUUCAAUUUUUGUUAAAACUUUGUGUGACUUCAGAUAUUGCUUUUUAAAUAUUUAUUUUUAUUGCUGCCUUGACGGCUAUUACCACCUUUGUUAAAAUUUUCUAACUAGCUCCUUUUUUGGGGGGAUGCGACUGUUACAGGGCGGCUCUAAUUGUUACUGCAAUUAUUAUAGCUAGAAGAGACACCUUCUUACCACAAAGCGAAACAAAAGUUUCUGUCCAAACCAUUAUUUUUUAAAUAAAAACAUUGUGAUAAUUCUGCAUUAUGUUCUCACAAAGGUAAGCAAUCCAACGAAAAAUUAAAUACAUGUGCAUGAUUUUUUUUUCAAAAGGUUUUAUUUGGGAGGGCAAAUUGUGAAAUUUAUUCAUGGUUUAACAUGCAGGACUGCACUACAUAUAAUUGCUCAAAUCAGUAUAAAAAAAAAAUCAAUAUCUUAUUAUAAGUUACCUAAUGAUAAAUCCCGUCCCUUUACUAUUCUGAUCGAAAUGGCCUAGAACUAAAGUUGCCCUAAAGUAAACUGCCAUGUUGACUUAUUACAGAGCACUACUUGCUAGCCAGUAAAAAAGUUCACAAAAUAUUUUCCAAAACCCACUUUGUUGUGUGUAGUGAAGUCUUGUGAGGGACAUACCCGAGUGCAUGUCUUGCUACUAAUGCAAGGUGAACACAGGUGUACAAAAUUAUUCACAAGAACAUUUGUCUAAAAAGCCGAAUUUGGUUUCAGAACAUCUAAUUUAUCCCAUGUCCAGUUACAUAGUUACACACUCUUUUUGCAACACUUUAAACCUUUUCGGUCCACAGGAGAGUUCCGCCUCUGCCCUCCCCCCCAUAAGAAUUUUAAAAAAACAGCAUCUCUUUGGUGUACUGCAUAGUUAUCAGUCUUACUAAUUAUAUAUGUAUCUACCUUACUGGCUAUUACAUGAAUCUACACUUUAAAAUCUCUAAUAAAACCUUAUAAUCGGGAAAAUAUAGUACCUUGCAUUAUGAUUUUCCUUAGUACUUGAGACUUACAACUUACAAAUUCACGGUGUAAAUUUUGGACAUUGAUUUAUCCGAUUUCCUCAUUUUUUGUAAAGUUUACCCAACAAUUAUGAAGGAUCGGAUUUUGGGCAAUUUUUGGUGUUUUUCAUGCAAAUUAUGUAGGAACCAGAAAAUAACUUAUUUAACUAUCAGAAACCUUAAACAAAAUGUGAAAAUUUGCUUUUGAAAUAAAAUUUUAUACAGAUGGUGGUAUUUUUGACAAAUUUCAAGUUUCCUAUGACGUUAAGGAAAAAGUGCUGACAUAAGCUAAAGUUUAUAGCAUACAUUUUAUUUCCUUUAUCAUAAUGUGUCAAGUUUGAUUCAAUUUGGAGAAGCAUUUCAAAAUUAAGGAGGGGGUGGAAAUCUGCCCCUCUUACCCCCUGUCAUAAAUUUGUUUAAGAAAACUCUAGACCGAUUAAGGCAAGUAACAGUAUCAAAACAACCACAGGCUUUUGAGGAAUUUUUGCGGACAAACUGCAAAAGUUGACUCAACUUUUGCAGUUUGGCAACUUGUGUGUUUUAAAGAAAUUUUUUGCGAAAAAUGAGUUUAAAUUACUACAGAAUUUUUUUUUAAUUUAAAGGGAACCCGAGGUAUAAAAUGAUGUUGGACUUAUAAUAUAGAGCUUAAAAAGUUGGUUAACAAGUCUUUAAAUUUUUUAGAAACCUCUUUUCGUUCCCAAGAUAUUCGCAUUUAAAGAAUUUCAGAUUUAAUUAUGCUGCAUAAAUUAUGAUGUCAUAUUUAAGUAAUAUCAAAUUUGACAUUUUCUGUCAUCAGUAAUUUUAGACCUUUUAAGGGAUGUGCAUUCAAACUUAAUAUAGAUAUUAUAAAAGUUCAUUGAUUAACAUAAUUUUUUUUGUCAAAAUGAAACUUUAUAAAAUUUAUGUAUAACUUCGGAUCUGCAUGUGUUUUUGGGAGUAAACAUGUAGGUCCUAUACAGGCUUACCUAGAAAAUUUUAUUGCAAACCAUGUUGCAAAUCUCAAGUUAAUACUAGUGUUAUAUGUUGAAUUAUCUUUUUUUAAUAAUAAUAAUAAAAUGUUUAAGCUCGAAUAAUGUUUUAUGAUUGCUCUUCUCCUCAGAUAGCAUAGGAACAUUGUGCUUGCAUGUAUCGAUGCAAUUUAAAAUAUUAAAGUUAUUAAAUUUUAGGUAAUAGGGUCACGUGCUAUGAAAAAAACUUCUACCUUUUUCAACGAAAAAGGUAGAAGUGAAAAAUAUUUUAAAAGUGAUAUCUUCAGUCACAAAACUUUUAAAAUGUGGAUUUGUAACUGAAAAUAUCUCAUGCAAAUCUUUUAGGUAAGUGCCACUUGUAAAAGUACAAGAUCCCUUUAAUGGGGGAACUCUAGUGAAAUCACUUUUUCUUUUUUUCUUUUUAUACGUACUGAAAAAAGCAUCAGGUAUCAGAAACAACGCAUUUUCAUCUGGGACCUGAUUGUAAACAAUGAUGUCCAUCAUGCAGAAAGUCUGAACUAGCACAGAGAACGUUUAUGUUAAAUCUUUAGUUUACAUUUUUGUAUGUACUUUACCUUUAAAUCUGUAAAAAAAUGGAUAGUUGUUCUGCAAUUUGAAUGUGCCAAUCGACCAGGGAAAUAAAAAAUUCAGUUUCCACAAAUUUCCGUCUUUGAAAAAGAAAGAACUCGGACAAAAACGGUCAGCAAAAUAGGAUGUGCAGGGGAUCUACCAAGCAAUGAAUGUUUUUAUAUUUGUUAUCACACUUCACAGAUCUUCACGUAAUAAGUUCCAUAAAAUAUUGCCACUUCAUAAAAAUGCCUUUUUAGCUAGUCAAUACGGUCGAAGUUUCUCAUUUCUUCUCAUUUUCAUUAUUUGUACUUAUAUCCACACAACACAACCAAUCUCCAAUACAAACACCAAUAAAAAAGUUAAUGUAUCUUUCUUAGCACUUGUCCGUUUCUAUUCUUUGUUUUUUAAAAGAGAAGCUUUUUUGAUGGAAGGACCUGCCAAAUUUUUUCAGGGGAAAAUGUGCCCAUUCAGUCUUGAACUGAUACCUUGGAUCAAAACCAUUAUUAAUCAUUUAUGAUGAUGCUGCGCUUUAUGCAACAAAAAUAGAAACGUUUUACAUGAAAGUUGGGUUAGCAUUCUUCAUCAUAUCAUGGCCUGACUGGAAGUAGUUUUUGCAUUUUCACAUGUAGAAAGUCACAAUCGAUUAUUGAUCCUUUCAUGUCAUGUCAUUCUACAUGCAUUGCUGAAAUCAGUCAAACAUGUAAUCAUGUUGCCUCUGCUUUAUAUCGUAUGAAAGUUUCUGUCAAAAUUGGACUUACAAAUAGAGUCUGUACAAGCACUGCUAACGAGUAGAUUCAGCUCAGUGAAUUCCAUGAGUCGUGUGAGAUCGCACACGCACGUGCUCACACACGCACAUCAGCUAUCAAGGCGUGCAAUUCAUUGCACAUGCUGAAUAUGCUCUUUGCUCCUGAAAAAGCCAUAAAAAUAACAAAGAAAUUAUAAGAAGUUGAUUUUCUAGAGCAUGGUUAAGUUGCCGCUUACAGCAAUGCAUAAAGCAUUUAACUAUUAACUAUAUUUGAAAAAUCAAUCUUCUAAAAUCGUGAGCUUCAACUAUAUCAUAAGAAACAGUUUAUAACCACUUGUGGUUAAAUUAAAUUAUUUUAAAAAUGUUAAUUGUUUUUUCUUCCAUGUUAAAUAAAUGUUUGUAAAUUAAAUGCUGUGUUUUUUCUGUGUGUGUUAAAUUGUGUGUUGAACAUUUUAUUUUGAAAUUCUAAACUGUAUGAAAGAACAUGCUCCUACUAUACCAUUGUUACUCGAAUAAAAGAUAACCUAUACAGAGAAAAUAUAACCCUGGAGACAAGGUUGGGGGUAAAUAGCACUACCAACAAAAUGGCAAACCAUAAGAGUAAGUACAACGUGGCAUAAGCCAGCAUCUCUUCGUUCACUGUUUAAAUUUAAUAAUAAUAAUAAUUAUUAUUAUUAUUAUUAUUACUAUUACUAUUAAUUAUAUUUAUUGCCUAUUUUCAUAAUAAUUCACUAAAUUUUGUUAAUUAAUAUUAUUCGGUAACCUUACGGCGGCCGUUAAUAAUAUUAAUUGACUUGAAAAAUAAUAAUUGACUGUACGUAAUUCCUCAAUUUAGCUUCGUGGCACUUAAAACUCAAGGUUUUCCGAGAAAAAUGAAUUUUAUUUAACGUUUCACAAGAGAUGAUCAUAAGUAUUUUUCCUUUCCAGAUUUUUCUAACCUAACCACAAACACCUAGUUUCAAGUUGUGUCUCAAUUAAGCGCCACACUUCUUUAAAAAUGCGUCACACUUCAAUGUAAGAUGGGGCGAUAAGUCCAGUGCGGCGCUUAUUUGAAAGUCACUUUAAAAAUGUGGCGCUUAAUCGAUGACUACGCUGAUUUAAAGGCGCCACUUAAUAAAAGAUUUACGGUAUUUCCUGUUUGCAAUGGAUGCAGUAAAUAGCAAAUGCAAUAAAAUUUUAUCGACUUUGUUGAGACGGGCACCUUUUUGUGGAUUUUUUCACAGGAUGGUACUAGUCUAUUAUAAUUUUUAAUGUCUAUCUGCGACACGAUAGUGUGUGUUUGUUCUAUUUUGAAGCCGCAAAAAAAUUGUAUCUAAAUUAUUAUUUUUUGACCUCUCGUCAUGAAGUGAAUGCAUAGGACUGACCUCAAUAAGUAAAUAACAUUACUGAUGUCAUUUAGCAACGCAUUAUAUUUCUAGGUAAUUAUCGCUUGGAAAAGAGUGAAAAUAACUAACGUCUCCUCUCGUCUGGGUGACUAGGGGUACCUGACACUAACACUGAGACAAUUACCUAAAGAUGGAUUAAUGCAUCCGUUUCGGAACCAGCUGUGUCAAAUAUGCUCAAAGAAAUUGAGCAAAGACCAUGCUGGUGUAUUUUCGCGGAUCAGCCUAUUUUGGAUUUUUCGUAGGAUUUCAUAUCUUCCAUUAUUCGCCAGGAUGUUUUUUGUGAGCUGUUCUAAAGGAAUGAACACGUUAUGUUGGAUUAAAACAUUUAUUCAAACAUUUAUCCAACAUUCGAAGUUGGAUGCAUUUGCCCCGGCUUUAAUACGCAGAAAUCGAAAAGAAAUUAACGCUAUUAACCUGGACUUAUCUUCCUUGGUAAAGGUCAGGAAUGGCAUGAUUCAAUGACUGCAUUUUACUAAAAUAUGUACAAAAUGAUAUUUAAAAAUGUUAGUUCGAUUUUAUAUGCUUUUUUGUAUUUGGAAUACCUGAUCAAAUCACUGGUCCUGGAUGGUCGCGUGCUGACAAAAUACACACGCAUAGUGGGUAUUUAUCACGUUUAACCAUUGCUGUUUAAUUGUUUAAGCACUAUCAAAAAGUAAGGCCAGAACGAGGCAAAUCUUCGAAAACAACAUCAUGGAUUUCGCCGUGCUUUUAUGAUCGUGUGAUUCGUGGAAUGAAUUGCAAUGGUGGCUCCGUAAGCGCAGAGAAAUUAGGAUGAGUUUCCUAUUUCCGUAAAACAUUUGGACAUGUUCUGACUUUUAGUUUUCAACAACUUUAACCCUAUUCGGGCUGGAGCUUAGGGACUCUUGAAAGCCAUGGGGGAGAGGGGUUAAUAAAUCCCUCUCCCCCUUUAAAAUGACGAAGAAGUCAUCAAAUAGCCAGCAAAAUUGGCACAAAUGUUUGUUAGCAGAUUGGAAGAUGACGUUAUCAUAAAUUUCCGAACCAUAAGAGAGACUUGCACACGCCUUUGAUGUGUAUAAUGACGUGAUAAACGCAUAAAAACUGAAAUAUUUCAUGAGAACAGUUAAUAAUAUAUUUAAAGAAAAGAAAUUUUGCCUGAUUUUUCUUUUGACACCUGUUUAAAAAACCUCGUCCCCAGGGUCUUCUGGCCCCUGAACCGUUAUUACGGACAACAAGGCAAAAUGCCCUGGGAACAAGGUUGGUGUUAAACUGAUGAGGCACCAUGACAACAGACGUGAUGUCAUACCAGAAAUAGUUCACUGUCCUGGAGACAACUGAAAGUGAUGAAAAAAGUCACCAAAUUUCAACACCAAAAUCACCAAAAACAACAAAAUGGUCACGUCGGCAUCACGACUUUAUUUGUUCAGGUGUUUCCACACGCUGGACAUUUCACUGGUGGUUUGAUACGUUUAUUACUGUCAGCAUUUGUAACUUAGAAGACUGCGGUAUUUGUAGUAUUAUCUGGAAGACUAUCGUUUUCUUUUGCAACAAUAUGCUUAAUUAUGUCUGCAACCGUGGCUUUAACGUUUAUGUGGCUUAAUUUGUCGUUGGCUACGUCACCCUUUAUAUAUUGUAGAGUUUCAGAUACAUCCAAGUCUCUUCACCUGUCAUUGAUGUAUUUUGCGCAAUCUCAUCGAGAAUUUCUUAAAUUUUUUUUUGUCAUUUGACAUGCCACCUUGUGCCAUAUCUCUAAAUGUGACGGCAUGUUCACUUGCUGCUUCGCUUUCUUUUCUCAGUAAAGCAGCAAAUAAAAGUUGAUUCCGGUUUUGCUUGAAAAAAUUCAUUCUCUCACUGAAAAUAAAUGUUAAAAACCAUUCUAGUAUUUUUAUAGUACUAGUCUUUAACCGUGGAAAAAUCCAUGGGGCCACCGAUCCUUUAUAUAUCGCAUUUCGUGUUUCCGUAACAGGACGCGCCUUUUGCGGACAGACAGACAAACGACGGCGAUUAUUACAGAGAUAGUGGUUAUCCCGUGGAAAAAUCUAAGGGUUCCCCCGUCCUUUAAAUUUAUCCGUCACAACAAAGUGGAUAAAAAUAUAUCGCAUUUAAUAUUUGUGCGCAUUCUGAAAAUUUCGGGCGCGUCUUUCGCCGACACAGACAAAAAGCAGCUAUUAUUAAAGAGAUAAGUGGAAGCUUUUCAGACUAUGUCCGUCUUCAGUGCAAUAAAUAUACAAGUGAAAGCAAAAAUACAUACUUAGGUUUUUCUUCACUUUUUCUUUAAGAAUUUAUCCUAGUCAACAUUUUUAUGUGAGAUUGUGACCAUCUAUAACUAGCUUGCUCUUACCUACCUCUGGCUAAAAAGUGAAUGUAGCCAAAUGCAGUUUAACUACAACAAAAUUUCUAAUCGAAAAUUUUAUGCUACUUGUAGUUAGGUAGCUAGCUAUACCUUUAUUACUUUCAUGAAAACUUUUCCUGCAAAAUAAAAUUGCUGUGAGACUGUGUUAGCUGCACAGGUUAAUAACGGGCUGUUUCGUCUGUUUUUAUUUUCACAGAACUUGGAUACAAUUUUUUGGAGAAGGGUAUUUGCUUCUUUUCGAAUAUGUACGGUAUUCUAAAUGCUCUGCCAAGAGCAACAUUUAUUUUGGAACUUUCACCGGGAGCAUUUUAUGAAAAAUAAACAAGGUCGGCCGACUGCUUUUGCUAUGACAUGGUAACAACGGGUUGUAAUAAAACACCACAAACACCAUAGUGUUGUGUGCGCAUCACUAAAUUUAGGACAUUCUGCAUACCUGUACUAAAGCUCUCCACCUAAAUGUGUGGUUCAAUUUACAGUUCAUAUUAUUCGCUCCACCGGGCAUUCAACACCAGGCAACAGAGUUACUUGUGGCUUAAUCAGAUGUUUUGAUGCUGGGUCCCCUGGCUAGUACAGUAUAAAUGACAUACUUGUUAAAAAUAACUAAAUUUAAAAUGCAAUCUAGUGGCAUAAGUAAGACCUUGGGAAGUUACCAGCAUUAAGAAAUUAACAUAAGGGCAAAGUGAGAAUACUGGUUGGUAUACUUAACAAAGAGUGUUAUUAGAGCAUCCAAAGGACACAAAGUUUUCACAAAGAUGAAAAAACAUUGUUAUUGGUCCUGGUUUACCUGCACUUAAAUGCGGACAAACAAUGAAAAUAAAUGCUUUUAAUGCAUUUAUAGAUACUUAGUUACAAGGUUAUAACAAUGUUGAAAUUUAAUUGUCCCUUGUAUUUAGAUAAAAGCACACCUUACAUUGGUGCUAGUCCGGACAGAAUAGUGAAAUGUGAUUGCUGUCGACCAGCAUGCUUAGAAGUACAAUGUCCUUUUUUAAUUAAUUUCACAACUCUGUUAGACCAUAAUGUGAAAUUUUCUUACUUGACUCAUCAGGAGGAAAAACAAUUUUAAAUCAGAGCGAUAAAUAUUACGCACAUGCAAGUGGGAUUAACUGGUUUUCCUCUUUUUGUAGUUUAGACACCUCAUGAGAUGGUGCAUGACCUUAUCUUAUUAUCUGACCUUAUUAAGCCUGAACGUUUUGCAGUAAGGAAAUAUUUGUAGAAUAUUACAAGACAUUUUAUUUAAAAUGGUUAUUUUCAGGAUAGUUUAUUUUAUCAUAACUAGGAAAAAUAUUUUUGUGUAUGUUUGUGUUAGGCUUUUGUAUGAAAGACUUAUUUAGAAAUUAAAGUUUGAACGGCAUAUUCUUUUCUUUGAUUUAAACCUGUUGUUUGGUGGGAAAAGGGGCAUGCGAUUUUUCAAAAACUUACUGAAUUGGUUCCACAUACACACAGAUAUUCAAUUCAAGGCUACAAAAUAAAGAGAAAAAAUAAAUACACAAAAAAGCAAAACACAAAUAAAUUCAAAUUAAGACAAAUACUAUUUUUAAAGUAACACAGAUUAUUGCCAUGCUCAACUAUCCAGGCCUUUUUCACUUGCUACUUGGAAUAAUAAAACGUACAAUACUUCAAUCAGUUUCUCUCUAGUCAGUCUCUCAACAGCAACUGAUGACAGUAGUCGAUUCUACUCUCAUCAGCUGCAUGUUACAGUGGAGCAUAGCGCUAAUUACCAGAGAACUAUUUAACAAAAUACAAUGUAAUAAAGACUUCUUCACGGAGUCUUCCUGUUGCAACACCUGUUUUACAGAAAUUUUUAGUUUUUUUUUUUUUGUGUCGCUUCGCUUAUACUAAAGUUGCUUAAAAAACUUUUAAAUCCAGUUCAGUUGAUUGUUUUGGGUGUACACUCAAAACAAUCUUUUAAAUGUUGCCUCAAUAGCCUGUGUUUACCUGUUAAUGUCUAAGUGUUUUAUAAUUCAAAUAUUUUCUUCAACGGUCUGAUCCAAAUAUUCCCUUAACAGUUGGAUACUUUUGGUUUACGUUAUAAGUGCGUGGAGUACUCUCUGGAGUUGUAUUCUUAAUAGUCCUGAAAGUUUUAGCUCUAUACUUAUAUACUUGUAAACUCAAGAAGUUAACUUUACUGACAAAAGAUUUUAUGCUUUCACUCUUAUCAUUGCAUGAUUCACGUAAAAGUAGUGAAUAAAUUGUGUACGAUUGAUCUGGUACUGUCAGUGAAGAAAUCCUGAUGCAUUAAAAGUAUUCUUCUAGGGCUUCAGCAAUGGUUUGAACAUCUUCUGAAACAACAGAUGAUGCAGUCUUUUUCAGAGAAUGUGAAAAUAGUUCUCUCCUGGGUUUUGUAAAAGCAGGACUGUCAUACCCCAAUUCUUAAGUUAAGCUUUUACCUGUUCGUUAUUUCUUAAGACGCUUGGAAAACAAAAAAUUAAACAGUCGUUGACAUGAACAUUCCUCCUGGUUUACUUUGUGAAUUUCACAUCGUUCUUUCUUUCAUUUUCGUAGCCUUUUAGUGCUAUUAAAACACCUAAUAACUGCACAGUUUACACUGGGCAUGAUAAUUAAUUCUUGAAAUUAAAAUCAUUGUGCAGGUAGAUAUAUAGUGUUGUUUUUAUAUUACCGUCAUUUACCAAUCAAUACCGUUAUUAUACUGGUAAUUAUUUUACUGGUAAUUAUUUGAUUACUGUUUAAUUCUAACGGUAUAAGCAGUAGAACAGUUUUACAGGUACAACGGUAUUACUGACAAUAUAGGUUGUUACCGUUUUUCCCAAAAAUGUCACAUUUUAACAUGUAUCUUUUUUCGUUUGUUAUUAAAUUUGCUGGUUGUGUCGGAGAGUACUGAAGAGUAUUUUGCAAUCAAGUCUUUCAUAGCGAUGUCAAAGAAAUUUGUUAAAUAACUUCUUUUAGCUGCACCUUGUCAA